rnacentral:lncRNA from 1 species
GGGAUUCAGUAUCCGUCGAACGUUUGGAGUACAAAUCUGAUACACCUGAAUUGUCAAUGCUAGCAAGCUCACAGCAGCAUUAGAGCAUGAUGAACCUGAUGAGGAAGUGUCACAUGAAUGGAAGCAAAUUUUUCUAUUUGAAAUAAACCAAAAACAAUUUUUUCUGUUUGAUCUUACUCUCAGCCCAUCGCUAGUAUGUCAGAAUCAGAAAAGACUGGUGACGAAUCGGAGACUGCGGAAAAUGUUGAGGAUAUGGUUACCACUACAAGAAGUGGGAGAGUU